UAUGUAGGCGGUCUAUCAAGCGUUUUGUGAAAGCCCUCGGCUCAACCGAGGAAUUGCUUGGCGAACUGAUAGACUUGAGGCAGGUAGGGGUGUGUGGAACUCUUGGUGGAGCGGUGGAAUGCGUAGAUAUCAAGAGGAACGCCUGAGGCGAAAGCGACGCACUGGGCCUGACCUGACGCUGAGAUACGAAAGCCAGGGGAGCGAACG
rnacentral:rRNA from 1 species